rnacentral:lncRNA from 1 species
AGCUCUCAUCUCAGCUCAAAUCAAACCCUUGAAGACAUUACCAGCCUAGUUCAGUUCUUGAAGAAGAAAGAAGCUUGAAGCGUGGAGUGUUCUCCUUAUCUCUCAACCGUGCCUGUCUUUACCUGAUGGAGAGUCUCAUUGGAAGCAAAGGAGGAUGGAGAGGCGUCAUGAACCUCAAGCCAAAGCUCCUUGUCCAAGAGCUUAUCACAUCCGGAUACAAGAAAGAUGAAGCUAAGAGAAGCCGGUUUGAAGUAUGAAGAAAGGAGGGGUCUUUGGGUGUGAGAAACAAGAAGGAGGCCGUGGACUGAAGGAGAAGGAGGUGGGUGACGAUCCAGACUCUUGAAUCCAACCAUAUCAUGGCCAGAUUGCCUUUGGAG